AUUGAACGCUGGCGGCAGGCCUAACACAUGCAAGUCGAGCGAGUGGCGGACGGGUGAGUAAUGUAUGGGAAACUGCCCGAUGGAGGGGGAUAACUACUGGAAACGGUAGCUAAUACCGCAUACCAUCAGAUGUGCCCAGAUGGGCUUAGCUUGUAGGUAGGGUAACGGCUCACCUGGGCGACGAUCCCUAGCUGGUCUGAGAGGAUGACCAGCCACACUGGAACGUAGACACGGUCCAGACUCCUACGGGAGGCAGCAGUGGGUAAUAUUUCACAAUGGGCGCAAGCCUGAUGCAGCCAUGCCGCGUGUAUGAAGAAGGCCUUCGGGUUGUAAAGUACUUUCAGCGGGGAGGCGUUACUCGCAGAAGAAGCACCGGCUAACUCCGUGCCAGCAGCCGCGGUAAUUC
rnacentral:rRNA from 1 species